UUUUCCUUCUGUGCAUCGUGUGUUUACCUUUCAAUUUUAUUGUGUUCUGUCCGUGCAAAAAUCCCUCUCUCUCUCAUUCCUGAUUCCCUCUCUCCUCUGAUCUCUCUCAACCUAACAUUCUCUCUUCUCUCUCUCUCUCCACCUCACGGCCCUUGCCGUUGUCAGCAGCCACGGUGCACGGCGGCCCCUAGCAAUGCCGUGCGUCGCCUCCAGCCACCAAAUGCAAGCCCGCCCAUCCCAUAGCUCUCUCACUCCUCGAUUUCUCUCAUUUUCUCAGCUAGCGACGCCAUGCGUCGCCUCCAACAAACCAUCGAAGCCUUGAUACCCAGCCGCAAUGCCUCUCUCUCCCUUUGUUUCUCUCAUCUCAGUCACAACCUAGGCGAUUUCCAGCGCCACCACCAGGCGGCCACAUCAUGCCGCUCUCAGCAACGUCACUAGCCUCCGUGUUGUGGUAGCGGCUCCACCGUACCAAAUGGUCCAUCUUCUAGCCAAACUAUUUCUUCAACUUCCUUGAUGGCUACCUUGGCUGCUUUGUGGGUAGCAUUGUUUGCAGACCUGUAGACAAAAGAUAACCUCCAUGUCAGUGCUUUCUAUUUUUCUCUCUCAUGGAAAAUGCAGUACAAUCCGUUGCAGGAAUUUUUAUUUCUUAUGAGAGAAGCUCUAAAUGUCGUGGAAAAGAUGAGUGUUGCCACAAGUAUCUCAAAGCAGUGCUGCAUUGGCAUCUUCUUUGGAGACCGCCCAAAACAAUUGAGUUCCAUGUUCCUGCCAUUUGGCAAGCGGUACUCGUACCUCUUCUUGAAUUAAAAAAUUAAAUAAAAACAUCAUUUGGAAGUUUGAACCCUGAGAUUUUUAAGGUUCUCAUUGCUUCCUGCAUGUAACUAGAGGCAGAUAUAGUUAUAUGAGAUUUUAUGUGCAAUAUUCACAGCCUUAGUUGUGUCAUUGCUGGUACCUAGAUUUGGAAAAUCAAAUCCAAUUUGAAGAUUCAACGUUCUAUUAUCAAAUAUAGUGUGCUCUUAGUAGCUGGUUUGAAAUUUUAGUUUAGCCCCUUUUCAUCCUCUCCAUUGUCUAGAACAGUCCUUUCGAUUUUUGUUUCUUGUAAAAUUUGGUUGCAGGAUGAAAUCUCAUUCAGAAUUUCUGGAGCCAUUGACUUCAUUUUCUCUUAUAUUAAAUUGUGAAGCAAACUAAAACAAAUAUCCGACAACUAAGUUGCAUCUGAAAUUUUUGGUAUUUUAAUAAUUUUUACUUGUCAAAGAUAAGUGCAUUUCUUUUCAUGUUGAUCAGGAUCACCAUCCUUUUGAAGAAUUCCUUGGAGUUUUGUAGUGUGAUGGAGACUUGAUCUGUUUAGCUAAGUGGGUUUUGGUGGUUUGUAACAACAUCAAUACUUGCUUGGAGUUGCAACUAGAGAUGAAAUUGUUGCCUGUAAUGUUAGGGAAGAUACGAGUCUAGAUAGAGCUGCCAAAAAUUUAUUGAUUUCCUCAAGUCUUGAUUAUUUUAGUUUGUUGGAGGAUAUUUGGUUGUUCCUCCAUUUAGGUUUCAACUUUUUGGAAUUUGGUUGAUGUGUCAGUUAUCCAAGUAAUUGUUAAGGUGUAAGUUAGAAAGAGUUGUCCUCUUUCAACAUGUUUCUUUUUGUAUAUUAUAUUAAUGAGAAAAAUUCCUUUCAACAUGCACUGGGCUGAGAAAAAUUCCUCUUUCAAUGUUUUCAUUGCAUUUAUUUGUAUUAAAAGAAGGAUAUCAAAGUACUAAGCAAACAUUCAGGUUAUAAAUCCUCCAGUGUACCUGGAAUAUGCUUAUUAAUAAAAUUUCUUAUUACUUAUAAAAAAAAAAAUCCUGCUUGCAAAUAGAAGGUUGUUGAUAUGCUUUAGUGCUUCAGUGGUUACUACUUUUGACAGUGAAACAUUGGUGGGCAAACGUGCCUUUCACGUCACUCCACUUUUUCCCAAACAUAUUCUCAAUUGAUCACCACUUCCACACAAUUAAAUCUGUCUCAAGAAGUGAAAAUUUUCCAACCAUCAUCCCCAAAUGUUUAUGAUUUUGGAAUACUGGUUUCAUUUAGUAAGAGAAAUGGUCAUAGGUAAACACUUGUAGGAAAUCUGUUUUGAUAUACGAUUGGUUUGAUACAUUAUUUUGUUUCAUAACCAUGUUGUGAUUAUGGUCCAUAGAAACUUUGUAUUUUUCCAUAUAGAAGAAAGAGGUCACUUGUACACCAAUUUUUAAUUUGAGAAAUGCUAUUUGUAGGGAGAACAUCCUUUCCACAAUUAUAUCCUAUGGUCCAAGUAUAGAAAACGGUGUCCUACUAAAAACUCACUUGGAAAUGGCAGUGUUUCUAGAAGAGCAAAAGCAUGUGGUGAAACAGCUUUUGAGUUCCAGGAAAGUGAUGGGGAAUGGUCCAGUAACUUCUCACCGACACUUGCAAUAAGCAUGAAAAUGGUUUUACCUGAGUCAAACAGCCACUGUGGAAUAGUGUAUUGACACACUACAAGGUCCUACAAAGACAGUCGCUCCCCUGGUCCUGCUUUGCUGGUCCGCAUUCUUUCCCUUCACGCAGGGUCUCGUCCUUUCUUCUUCAAGUUUUUUUCUCCAGACUUAAGAAAAAAAAUCUAUUUCUCAAGACAAAUUUUGUAUUAUUAUCAUGUUUGUGUUGUCUGAUUAUCGUAAUAUUUUGUGUUAUUAUCUUGGCUUCUCAUUUAUAUGCCAGUAAGUUUGCUCUUCUCCUUU